AGAGUUUGAUCAUGGCUCAGAGCGAACGCUGGCGGCGUGCUUAACACAUGCAAGUCGAACGGGUGUAGCAAUACAUCCGUGGCGAACGGGUGCGUAACACGUGGAUAACCUUCCUUCAGGUGGAGAAUAACCCCGUGAAAACGGGGCUAAUACCGCAUAACGAGCCGGGGGCGCAUGUCCCUGUCUCCAAAGCCGCAAGGCGCCAGAAGAGGGAUCCGCGGCCGAUUAGCUUGUUGGCGAGGUAACGGCUCACCAAGGCAAAGAUCGGUAGCCGGAUUGAGAGGUUGGCCGGCCACACUGGAACUGAGACACGGUCCAGACUCCUACGGGAGGCAGCAGUGGGGAGUCUUGCGCAAUGGGCGAAAGCCUGACGCAGCAACGCCGCGUGGGGGAUGAAGGCUCUCGGGUUGUAAACCCCUUUCAGCAGGGACGAUUGUGACGGUACCUGCAGAAGAAGGCCCGGCCAACUACGUGCCAGCAGCCGCGGUAAUAC
rnacentral:rRNA from 1 species